rnacentral:rRNA from 1 species
AUUGAACGCUGGCGGCAUGCUUUACACAUGCCAGUCGAACGGCAGCGCGGGCUUCGGCCUGGCGGCGAGUGGCGAACGGGUGUGUAAUACAUCGGAACGUGCCCAGUAGUGGGGGAUAGCUCGGCGAAAGCCGGAUUAAUACCGCAUACGACCUGAGGGUGGAAGCGGGGGAUCUUCGGACCUCGCGCUAUUGGAGCGGCCGAUGGCAGAUUAGCUAGUUGGUGGGGUAAAGGCCUACCAAGGCGACGAUCUGUAGCUGGUCUGAGAGGACGACCAGCCACACUGGGACUGAGACACGGCCCAGACUCCUACGGGAGGCAGCAGUGGGGAAUUUUGGACAAUGGGCGAAAGCCUGAUCCAGCAAUGCCGCGUGUGUGAUGAAGGCCUUCGGGUUGUAAAGCACUUUUGGCGGGAACGAAAAGGACUGUGCCAAUACCACGGUUCGAUGACGGUACCCGCAGAAUAAGCACCGGCUAACUACGUG